rnacentral:rRNA from 1 species
GAUGAACGCUGGCGGCGUGCCUAAUACAUGCAAGUCGAGCGAACGGACGAGAAGCUUGCUUCUCUGAUGUUAGCGGCGGACGGGUGAGUAACACGUGGAUAACCUACCUAUAAGACUGGGAUAACUUCGGGAAACCGGAGCUAAUACCGGAUAAUAUUUUGAACCGCAUGGUUCAAAAGUGAAAGACGGUCUUGCUGUCACUUAUAGAUGGAUCCGCGCUGCAUUAGCUAGUUGGUAAGGUAACGGCUUACCAAGGCAACGAUGCAUAGCCGACCUGAGAGGGUGAUCGGCCACACUGGAACUGAGACACGGUCCAGACUCCUACGGGAGGCAGCAGUAGGGAAUCUUCCGCAAUGGGCGAAAGCCUGACGGAGCAACGCCGCGUGAGUGAUGAAGGUCUUCGGAUCGUAAAACUCUGUUAUUAGGGAAGAACAUAUGUGUAAGUAACUGUGCACAUCUUGACGGUACCUAAUCAGAAAGCCACGGCUAACUACGUGCCAGCAGCCGCGGUAAUACGUAGGUGGCAAGCGUUAUCCGGAAUUAUUGGGCGUAAAGCGCGCGUAGGCGGUUUUUUAAGUCUGAUGUGAAAGCCCACGGCUCAACCGUGGAGGGUCAUUGGAAACUGGAAAACUUGAGUGCAGAAGAGGAAAGUGGAAUUCCAUGUGUAGCGGUGAAAUGCGCAGAGAUAUGGAGGAACACCAGUGGCGAAGGCGACUUUCUGGUCUGUAACUGACGCUGAUGUGCGAAAGCGUGGGGAUCAAACAGGAUUAGAUACCCUGGCAGUCCACGCCGUAAACGAUGAGUGCUAAGUGUUAGGGGGUUUCCGCCCCUUAGUGCUGCAGCUAACGCAUUAAGCACUCCGCCUGGGGAGUACGACCGCAAGGUUGAAACUCAAAGGAAUUGACGGGGACCCGCACAAGCGGUGGAGCAUGUGGUUUAAUUCGAAGCAACGCGAAGAACCUUACCAAAUCUUGACAUCCUUUGACAACUCUAGAGAUAGAGCUUUCCCCUUCGGGGGACAAAGUGACAGGUGGUGCAUGGUUGUCGUCAGCUCGUGUCGUGAGAUGUUGGGUUAAGUCCCGCAACGAGCGCAACCCUUAAGCUUAGUUGCCAUCAUUAAGUUGGGCACUCUAAGUUGACUGCCGGUGACAAACCGGAGGAAGGUGGGGAUGACGUCAAAUCAUCAUGCCCCUUAUGAUUUGGGCUACACACGUGCUACAAUGGACAAUACAAAGGGCAGCGAAACCGUGAGGUCAAGCAAAUCCCAUAAAGUUGUUCUCAGUUCGGAUUGUAGUCUGCAACUCGACUACAUGAAGCUGGAAUCGCUAGUAAUCGUAGAUCAGCAUGCUACGGUGAAUACGUUCCCGGGUCU